rnacentral:rRNA from 1 species
CGCUGGCGGCAUGCUUAACACAUGCAAGUCGAACGAGAUCUGUGGAUUGAGGAUUCGUCCAAAUGAAGCAGAGGACAGUGGCGGACGGGUGAGUAACGCGUAGGCAACCUGCCCUUCAGAUGGGGACAACACCUCGAAAGGGGUGCUAAUACCGAAUGACGUUUCCUGGUCGCAUGACCUGGAAACCAAAGGCCGGGCAACCGGUCACUGAAGGAUGGGCUCGCGUCUGAUUAGAUAGUUGGUGAGGUAACGGCUCACCAAGUCGACGAUCAGUAGCCGGACUGAGAGGUUGAACGGCCACAUUGGAACUGAGAAACGGUCCAGACUCCUACGGGAGGCAGCAGUGGGGAAUAUUGGGCAAUGGGCGAAAGCCUGACCCAGCGACGCCGCGUGAGGGAUGAAGGUCUUCGGAUUGUAAACCUCUGUCUUCGGGGACGAAAAUGACGGUACCCGAGGAGGAAGCCACGGCUAACUACGUG